rnacentral:tRNA from 1 species
UAGGAUAUGGUGUAGUAGGUAGCACGGAGAAUUUUGAGUUCUCAGGGGUAGGUUCAAGGCCUGCUGUCCUAG